rnacentral:rRNA from 1 species
UACGUAGGGUGCAAGCGUGUCCGGAAUUAUUGGGCGUAAAGAGCUCGUAGGCGGUUCGUCGCGUCGGCUGUGAAAACCUGAGGCUCAACCUCAGGCCUGCAGUCGAUACGGGCGGACUUGAGUACUGCAGGGGAGACUGGAAUUCCUGGUGUAGCGGUGAAAUGCGCAGAUAUCAAGGAGGGAACACCGGUGGCGAAGGCGGGUCUCUGGGCCGAAACUGGACGCUGGAGGAGCGAAAGCGUGGGGAGCGAACAGG